GGGCCUGUUGCACAAAAGUAGAAUUAAGACAUCCGGGAUAAAUGACUAAGCUGAGCUCAAUGAAGCCAAAACAUGUGCGUCCAGGCUUAAUUGGUUGCACAAAGACCAAGCCAGGAUGAGCAGACACGGAUUCAUUAAGCCAGGUGAAACCAAUCCUGGAUAGGUGCGCGCUCACGGCUCACUCAAAUAGACCCCGCCACAGAUCACAGAUUAACUGAUUUACCAUGGCAACUAGAGCCGCGUACUUUUCCCCGUCGGAAGCACAAAUCCUCAUGGAGGCAUACGAGGAGGUAAAAUAUAUAAUUAAGAAGAAAGGCAACACCGCCACAGUGACAAAGCAAAGAGAAAAAGCGUGGCAAAGUAUUGCAGACCGCCUGAAUGCAUUAAACAUGAACGGGCCAAAACGGACAUGGCAGCAGGUCAAAAUCAAAUACAAGAACAUUCUGCAGAAUGCAGUGAAAAAGAAUACCCACAGACAAGGCACGGGUGGUGGGUCACCAAAGGCUGACCUUACCCCAGCAGAGGACAUGGCCUUGGAGCUAAAUAAAGGCAGGCCCGUCUUAGAGGGGAUCCCUGGGGGAAAGAGACGAGCAUAGGUUCCUCCCAAGAUGCCACCCGCUUCAUUCAAGUGUCUGGCAGCACUGUGUUCCUGUUAGAGCCACCAGCACAAGCACCAGACGAUGCUGAUCCAGGUGAAGGCCCCAGUGCAACAGCACAUGAUGGAGACGAUGAUGAUGAGGAGGAGACCAUCUCUCUGGAUUCCAGAAGGCAUGAGGUAUCAUGGUAAGACUGUGAAAGUACUAUUUACUCUACAAUGGUGAGGAGUCCUCAUCAAAAUCAAAAAAUCUAAUUUCUUUUACAGGACCCAGAUGCUAUACAGUGGGAAAACCAGCCUGGCAACAUAGUGCGUAUUAAUAAAAGGACACCACAUCCUGCCAAAUUCCAGCUGCGCUAAUUGUAUUGUGUUCAGAGCUCACAAGCUAUCAGAAAGUUGUAUGGCAACCACCUCCGGCGCCAAAUAGAACUGGCAGACAUAGACAUUCAGUACAAGAAGAAAAAGAUGGAAAAUCUUGCACUGGAGUCCGAAAUAAAAAAGAGGACAAUUAGGAAACUGGACCUUGAAAUAAAAAAAAACUUGAGAGGGAGCUCCAAGAAGAUGACACAGCUCAAAAUAAAAAUUAGGUAUAUUCUCG